UGGGCCCUCCAGGCUCAUUUUGAAGCGGUCACGCUUGUUUAGUUUGCCAUUACCCAUGAUUAGCACAUUUAUUGGACACUUCUGUCAAACGACUUCCACAUCGGUCAUAUAUUUGCGAGGAAACUGGAAGAAUGAAGGAAGAGUUGGAUGGCGUCUAUUUAAGUUUAUACUUUGCUUUUUCCAGAUGUUCAAGCCAGCUCACAAUACUGAAUUCUGCCCAAUGUUUUGACAUGAAUAAGGGAAGCACUCUUCAUACAAACCUCCAUGAGAAAUACAAGAACUUGGCUGUUAUAAUUCUAAAGAAAGUCUUCAAAAUGUGAGCCAACUAAUCAAAGCACAGCUGCCUGCAGAAUUCAACAUUAGGUCAUGAACUUACUUUUACAAUGAAUGCUUUACCAAGACACUAAUUCCAACACCAAAACAUUUCAUUAUUUACCCCACUCCGUGUCUGAUACCCUCCUUAAAUAAAUUGGGUUGGCUCCAAAGAAGCAUGAGCAGAAUACUAAUUAAGUUGUGU